rnacentral:rRNA from 1 species
AACGAACGCUGGCGGCGUGGAUAAGACAUGCAAGUCGAACGAGAGAAUUGCUAGCUUGCUAAUAAUUCUCUAGUGGCGCACGGGUGAGUAACACGUGAGUAACCUGCCCCCGAGAGCGGGAUAGCCCUGGGAAACUGGGAUUAAUACCGCAUAGUAUCGAAAGAUUAAAGCAGCAAUGCGCUUGGGGAUGGGCUCGCGGCCUAUUAGUUAGUUGGUGAGGUAACGGCUCACCAAGGCGAUGACGGGUAGCCGGUCUGAGAGGAUGUCCGGCCACACUGGAACUGAGACACGGUCCAGACACCUACGGGUGGCAGCAGUCGAGAAUCAUUCACAAUGGGGGAAACCCUGAUGGUGCGACGCCGCGUGGGGGAAUGAAGGUCUUCGGAUUGUAAACCCCUGUCAUGUGGGAGCAAAUUAAAAAGAUAAUACCACAAGAGGAAGAGACGGCUAACUCUGUGCCAGCAGCCGCGGUAAUACAGAGGUCUCAAGCGUUGUUCGGAAUCACUGGGCGUAAAGCGUGCGUAGGCUGUUUCGUAAGUCGUGUGUGAAAGGCGCGGGCUCAACCCGCGGACGGCACAUGAUACUGCGAGACUAGAGUAAUGGAGGGGGAACCGGAAUUCUCGGUGUAGCAGUGAAAUGCGUAGAUAUCGAGAGGAACACUCGUGGCGAAGGCGGGUUCCUGGACAUUAACUGACGCUGAGGCACGAAGGCCAGGGGAGCGAAAGGGAUUAGAUACCCCUGUAGUCCUGGCAGUAAACGGUGCACGCUUGGUGUGCGGGGAAUCGACCCCCUGCGUGCCGGAGCUAACGCGUUAAGCGUGCCGCCUGGGGAGUACGGUCGCAAGAUCAAAACUCAAAGAAAUUGACGGGGACCCGCACAAGCGGUGGAGUAUGUGGCUUAAUUCGAUGCAACGCGAAGAACCUUACCUGGGCUUGACAUGUAAUGAACAACAUGUGAAAGCAUGCGACUCUUCGGAGGCGUUACACAGGUGCUGCAUGGCCGUCGUCAGCUCGUGUCGUGAGAUGUUUGGUUAAGUCCAGCAACGAGCGCAACCCCUGUUGCCAGUUACCAGCACGUGAAGGUGGGGACUCUGGCGAGACUGCCCAGAUCAACUGGGAGGAAGGUGGGGACGACGUCAGGUCAGUAUGGCCCUUAUGCCCAGGGCUGCACACGUACUACAAUGCCCAGUACAGAGGGGGCCGAAGCCGCGAGGCGGAGGAAAUCCUGAAAACUGGGCCCAGUUCGGACUGUAGGCUGCAACCCGCCUACACGAAGCCGGAAUCGCUAGUAAUGGCGCAUCAGCUACGGCGCCGUGAAUACGUUCCCGGGUCUUGCAC